UUAUGGAUUUGGAGGUAGGAGAGAGUUGGAUACACUUCAUUCAUGUUGAAACAAGUUUCAUUUGACAUUUCAAACAUCAAGAAUGAAGAAAAUAAAGUCAGGAGAAAAGUUUCCAAAAAUAGAAAGUGACUUGUAAUGAAAGUUUCCAAAAAUGGAAAGUUUUUCACCUCAAAAUUACGUGUCCAAAAAUGCUUCAAAUGAAAUUUUGUUCAAC
rnacentral:lncRNA from 1 species